GACGAACGCUGGCGGCGUGCUUAACACAUGCAAGUCGAACGGAAAGGCCCUGCUUUUGUGGGGUGCUCGCGUGGCGAACGGGUGUGUAACCCGUGAGUAACCUGCCCUUGACUUUGGGAUAACUUCAGGAAACUGCUGCUAAUACCUGAUAGGAGCUCCUGCUGCAUGGUGGGGGUUGGAAAGUUUCGGCGGUUGGGGAUGGACUCGCGGCUUAUCAGCUUGUUGGUGGGGUAGUUGCUUACCAAGGCUUUGACGGGUAGCCGGCCUGAGAGGGUGGACGGGGACAAUGGGACUGAGAGACGGACCAGACGCGAACGGGAGGCAGCAGGGGGGAAUAUUGCACAAUGGGGGGAAGCGUGAUGCAACAACGCCGCGAGCGGGAUGACGGCCUUCGGGUUGUAAACCGCUUUCGGCUGUGACGAAGCGGGAGUGACGGUAAUGGGUAAAGAAGCACCGGCUAACUACGUG
rnacentral:rRNA from 1 species